rnacentral:tRNA from 1 species
GAGGGUAUAGCUCAGUGGUAGAGCGUAUACUUAGCAUGCAUGAGGUCAUAGGUUCAAUCCCCAGGACCCCCA